AUGCAUCUUCUUCAACCUUUUUUCCACCAUCUUCUCGUAUCAUCAUCAAUAUUCAAUAUUCUGCAUAAAAUCAAAAGACCAGAAAAAUUCUCUGAAAUUCCCUCUUCUUCCUCUCCCUGCAUUCACUCUCAUGUUUCUUCAUCACCUUCAUACCACAGAUCUUCACGCCCUCUUCAUUCUUCAAACUGCAGAAGAAUUACAAAGUUAGAAGAAAUUAUCUCUUCAUGA